rnacentral:rRNA from 1 species
AGUGGCGAACGGGUGAGUAACGCGUGAGGAACCUGCCUCAAAGAGGGGGACAACAGUUGGAAACGACUGCUAAUACCGCAUAAGCCCACGACCCGGCAUCGGGUAGAGGGAAAAGGAGCAAUCCGCUUUGAGAUGGCCUCGCGUCCGAUUAGCUGGUUGGUGAGGUAACGGCCCACCAAGGCGACGAUCGGUAGCCGGACUGAGAGGUUGAACGGCCACAUUGGGACUGAGACACGGCCCAGACUCCUACGGGAGGCAGCAGUGGGGAAUAUUGCACAAUGGGGGAAACCCUGAUGCAGCGACGCCGCGUGGAGGAAGAAGGUCUUCGGAUUGUAAACUCCUGUUGUUGAGGAAGACAAUGACGGUACUCAACAAGGAAGUGACGGCUAACUACGUGCCAGCAGCCGCGGUAAAACGUAGGUCACAAGCGUUGUCCGGAAUUACUGGGUGUAAAGGGAGCGCAGGCGGGAGAACAAGUUGGAAGUGAAAUCCAUGGGCUCAACCCAUGAACUGCUUUCAAAACUGUUUUUCUUGAGUAGUGCAGAGGUAGGCGGAAUUCCCGGUGUAGCGGUGGAAUGCGUAGAUAUCGGGAGGAACACCAGUGGCGAAGGCGGCCUACUGGGCACCAACUGACGCUG